rnacentral:tRNA from 1 species
GGAUACGUGGGGGAGUUGGCCGAACCCGCAGGACUGUAACCCCUGUCUUAACCGCACGCACGUUCGAAUCGUUGCCGUAUCCA